UGCAUUGUGACAUUUUUAUAAAUAAUAGGAACAAUAAAGGGACGUGGGCAUAUAAAUUAAAUGGCAUUAGGGGCAUUUUAGAGUUAUAGGAAUUGACUACUUACACACACGUCUGAUCACCAUUCCUCAUCAGAUCUCUCUAUCUUUUCCCUCCCAUCUCUCCCAUAUCUCUACCGUAUCUCUUUCCUUCCAUCGAUUGUAUCCGCCCUUCCUUAAUCGACAACCUCUACUCCGACUUCAUCGUCAUCCUCGUCGUCCUUUUGCAUUCCUUAAUCUGCGUCCUCGGUCUCGUCGCAGUCACUCGCUGCACCUAGAUCUAUCAGAUCUCCUAUAUAAUCUCCUACACUAAAGAAACAAUAACGGAGAAUUUCCCCGACUGUGUUAUCUGCUUGAUGGAAUUCGUCUCCAGUGAUGAGAUCAGAUCAUUGCCAAGGUUCAUCAUGGUUUUCAUGUCUUGUGCGUUAACACUUGGUUCGGAUCUCACUCCUUCUUUCCGUCUUGUCGCCAUAUCCUAUUAGCACCACCGAGAUGUAAGAAAUGCAGUGAAGUUCCUGUCGAUGAAUCCACUGCAGCUCAGACAAAUGCUUCAAUCGACAGAUUUGGAAGAAUUUGUGGAAAAAUAUUGAAGAUGUGAAGUGAUAAUUUGAGGAAAAUAUGGAAAUCUUGGCGCGACGACCUAAAAACGCUUUGACAUUUUGUAACAUUUUUUUUUUAUAUUAUAUUUUGUAUCGAAUAUAAUGCUUCUACUAUUGUGUUUAAAGAUUAGUAAAUAAAAAUGAGUUUUUUUUA